rnacentral:lncRNA from 1 species
CAGGCACCAUGACUCCUGUGAGGAUGCAGCACUCCCUGGCAGGUCAGACCUAUGCCGUGCCCCUCAUCCAGCCAGACCUGCGGCGAGAGGAGGCCGUCCAGCAGAUGGCGGAUGCCCUGCAGUACCUGCAGAAGGUCUCUGGAGACAUCUUCAGCAGGUGAUCUCCCAGCAGGUAGAGCAGAGCCGGAGCCAGGUGCAGUGUUCUCCAGUGCCAAGUACCCUGCUCCAGAGCGCCUGCAGGAAUAUGGCUCCAUCUUCACGGGCG